UACGUAGGGGGCAAGCGUUGUCCGGAUUUACUGGGUGUAAAGGGUGCUCAGGCGGGUUUGUAAGUCAGAGGUGAAACUCCGAAGCUUAACUUCGGAACUGCCUUUGAUACUGCAUCCCUAGAGUUUGAGAGAGGCGAGUGGAAUAUCUGGUGUAGCAGUGAAAUGCGUAGAUAUCAGAUAGAACACCAAUGGCGAAGGCAGCUCGCUGGCUCAAUACUGACGCUAAAGCACGAAAGUGUGGGUAGCAAACAGG
rnacentral:rRNA from 1 species